AGAGUUUGAUCAUGGCUCAGAAUCAACGCUGGCGGCGCGCUUAACACAUGCAAGUCGCACGAGAAAGUGGAGCAAUCCAUGAGUACAGUGGCGUACGGGUGAGUAACACGUGGAUUAUCUACCUUCUAGUGGGGAAUACCUCCGGGAAACUGGAGACAAUACCGCAUAAGCUCGUAAGAGGAAAGCAGCAAUGCGCUGGAAGAGGAGUCCGCGGCUGAUUAGCUAGUUGGCGGGGUAACGGCCCACCAAGGCGAAGAUCGGUAGCCGGCCUGAGAGGGCACACGGCCACACUGGCACUGAAACACGGGCCAGACUCCUACGGGAGGCAGCAGUGGGGAAUCUUGCACAAUGGAGGAAACUCUGAUGCAGCGACGCCGCGUGAGCGAUGAAGCCCUUCGGGGUGUAAAGCUCUUUCGACGGGAACGAUAAUGACGGUACCCGAAGAAGAAGCUGCGGCUAACUACGUGCCAGCAGCCGCGGUAAUACGUAGGCAGCAAGCGUUGUUCGGAAUUACUGGGCGUAAAGAGUGUGUAGGCGGUGCUCCAAGUCUGGUGUGAAAUCUCCCGGCUUAACUGGGAGGGUGCAUUAGAAACUGGAAUGCUAGAGGAUGGGAGAGGUAAGCGGAAUUCCUGGUGUAGCGGUGAAAUGCGUAGAUAUCAGGAGGAACACCUGUGGUGUAGACAGCUUACUGGACCAUUUCUGACGCUGAGACACGAAAGCGUGGGUAGCAAACAGGAUUAGAUACCCCGGUAGUCC
rnacentral:rRNA from 1 species